rnacentral:snRNA from 1 species
AGCUUUGCGCAGAGGCAAUACCAUAAUCAAUGAAGUUCUUACUGAGAUGUGGUUAUUGCUAGUUGAAAACUUUACCCAAUACCCCGCCGAUACGACCCAACGGGUCGGAUCAGGCAAUUUUUGAGGGCCUCUACGGGGG